rnacentral:rRNA from 1 species
AAGCCGGAGGAAGGUGGGGAUGACGUCAAAUCAUCAUGCCCCUUAUGUCUUGGGCUUCACGCAUGCUACAAUGGCCGGUACAAUGGGUUGCGAUACUGUGAGGUGGAGCUAAUCCCAAAAAGCCGGUCUCAGUUCGGAUUGAGGUCUGCAACUCGACCUCAUGAAGUCGGAGUCGCUAGUAAUCGCAGAUCAGCAACGCUGCGGUGAAUACGUUCCCGGGCCUUGUACACACCGCCCGUCACAUCAUGGGAAUUGGUUCUACCCGAAGACG